rnacentral:misc_RNA from 1 species
GUAGGAGCUGCCGCAGGCUGCGAUCUUUUGAUCUUGCCCCCUCAAAAACAAGAUCAAAGAUCGCAGCCUGCGGCAGCUCCUAC